rnacentral:rRNA from 1 species
UACGGAGGGGGCUAGCGUUGUUCGGAAUUACUGGGCGUAAAGCGCACGUAGGCGGCUUUGUAAGUUAGAGGUGAAAGCCCAGGGAUUAACCCUGGAAUUGCCUUUAAGACUGCAUCGCUAGAAUCGUGGAGAGGUGAGUGGAAUUCCGAGUGUAGAGGUGAAAUUCGUAGAUAUUCGGAAGAACACCAGUGGCGAAGGCGACUCACUGGACACGUAUUGACGCUGAGGUGCGAAAGCGUGGGGAGCAAACAGG